CGGCUAGAGUUUGAUCAUGGCUCAGAUUGAACGCUGGCGGCAGGCCUAACACAUGCAAGUCGAACGGUAACAGGAAGAAGCUUGCUUCUUUGCUGACGAGUGGCGGACGGGUGAGUAAUGUCUGGGAAACUGCCUGGUGGAGGGGGAUAACUACUGGAAACGGUAGCUAAUACCGCAUAACGUCGCAAGACCAAAGAGGGGGACCUUCGGGCCUCUUGCCAUCGGAUGUGCCCAGAUGGGAUUAGCUAGUAGGUGGGGUAACGGCUCACCUAGGCGACGAUCCCUAGCUGGUCUGGGAGGAUGACCAGCCACACUGGAACUGAGACACGGUCCAGACUCCUACGGGAGGCAGCAGUGGGGGAUAUUGCACAAUAGGCGCAAGCCUGAUGCAGCCAUGCCGCGUGUAUGAAGAAGGCCUUCGGGUUGUAAAGUACUUUCAGCGGGGAGGAAGGGAGUAAAGUUAAUACCUUUGCUCAUUGACGUUACCCGCAGAAGAAGCACCGGCUAACUCCGUGCCAGCAGCCGCGGUAAUACGGAGGGUGCAAGCGUUAAUCGGAAUUACUGGGCGUAAAGCGCACGCAGGCGGUUUGUUAAGUCAGAUGUGAAAUCCCCGGGCUCAACCUGGGAACUGCAUCUGAUACUGGCAAGCUUGAGUCUCGUAGAGGGGGGUA
rnacentral:rRNA from 1 species